GACGAACGCUGGCGGCGUGCUUAACACAUGCAAGUCGAACGGAAAGGCCCUGCUUUUGUGGGGUGCUCGAGUGGCGAACGGGUGAGUAACACGUGAGUAACCUGCCCUUGACUUUGGGAUAACUUCAGGAAACUGGGGCUAAUACCGGAUAGGAGCUCCUGCUGCAUGGUGGGGGUUGGAAAGUUUCGGCGGUUGGGGAUGGACUCGCGGCUUAUCAGCUUGUUGGUGGGGUAGUGGCUUACCAAGGGUUUGACGGGUAGUCGGCCUGAGAGGGUGACCGGGGACCUUGGGACUGCGAUACGGACCAGACUCCUACGGGAGGCAGCAGUGGGGAAUCUUACACAAUGGGCGGAAGCCUGAUGCAGCGACGCCGCGUGCGGAAUGACGGCCUUCGGGUUGUAAACCGCUUUCGCCUGUGACGAAGCGUGAGUGACGGUAAUGGGUAAAGAAGCACCGGCUAACUACGUG
rnacentral:rRNA from 1 species